rnacentral:rRNA from 1 species
UACGUAGGAUGCAAGCGUUGUCCGGAAUUAUUGGGCGUAAAGGGCGAGCAGGCGGUUUUGUAAGUUAGACGUGAAAUACCUCGGCUUAACCGGGGCAGGUCGUCUAAAACUGUAAGACUAGAGUGCAGGAGAGGAAAGCGGAAUUCCCGGUGUAGUGGUGAAAUGCGUAGAUAUCGGGAGGAACACCAGAGGCGAAAGCGGCUUUCUGGCCUGUAACUGACGCUGAGGCGCGAAGGCUGGGGUAG